rnacentral:rRNA from 1 species
GAGGAAGUAAAAGUCGUAACAAGGUCUCCGUUGGUGAACCAGCGGAGGGAUCAUUACUGAGUUUACGCUCUAUAACCCUUUGUGAACAUACCUAUAACUGUUGCUUCGGCGGGUAGGGUCUCCGUGACCCUCCCGGCCUCCCGCCCCCGGGCGGGUCGGCGCCCGCCGGAGGAUAACCAAACUCUGAUUUAACGACGUUUCUUCUGAGUGGUACAAGCAAAUAAUCAAAACUUUUAACAACGGAUCUCUUGGUUCUGGCAUCGAUGAAGAACGCAGCGAAAUGCGAUAAGUAAUGUGAAUUGCAGAAUUCAGUGAAUCAUCGAAUCUUUGAACGCACAUUGCGCCCGCCAGCAUUCUGGCGGGCAUGCCUGUUCGAGCGUCAUUUCAACCCUCAAGCUCUGCUUGGUGUUGGGGCCCUACAGCUGAUGUAGGCCCUCAAAGGUAGUGGCGGACCCUCCCGGAGCCUCCUUUGCGUAGUAACUUUACGUCUCGCACUGGGAUCCGGAGGGACUCUUGCCGUAAAACCCCCAAUUUUCCAAAGGUUGACCUCGGAUCAGGUAGGAAUACCCGCUGAACUUAAGCAUAUCAAUAAGC